rnacentral:rRNA from 1 species
UACGUAGGGGGCGAGCGUUGUCCGGAUUUAUUGGGCGUAAAGAGCGUGUAGGCGGCCAGGUAGGUCUGCUGUGAAAACUCGAGGCUCAACCUCGAGACGUCGGCGGAAACCAUCUGGCUAGAGUCCGGAAGAGGAGAGUGGAAUUCCUGGUGUAGCGGUGAAAUGCGCAGAUAUCAGGAAGAACACCCGUGGCGAAGGCGGCUCUCUGGGACGGUACUGACGCUGAGGCGCGAAAGCGUGGGGAGCGAUCCGG